CUCUCGGAAGCGUUACGGUAGCGUACUUUGUUUGGAACGAAGUGGCGGUGGUUCGACUCCACCCCGAGUGACCA
rnacentral:tRNA from 7 species